UGAGGAAAAUUCCCAAAAGUCCACGUCACCUCAGUUCUUUGAGGAAACCCUAUACACCAACUCCAGAGUGUCUUCAUGUAAUCUAGAAUCAGAAAGAAACAUUUCCUCUCAAGUCAGGGAAAUGUCACAUGGAGAGCCUAGUCCCCUCUCCCACCCACACCUAUCUGGAGCCAAAAGGGAAGGAAACAGCUCUGCGGUUUGGGGGCUAAUGAUAGGGAAUGAGGCUUUUAGACAAUUGUGUCCUCAGUGACUGAAGGAUUCUGGCCUAUCUGUGCUUCUAGAAAGGGGAGGAACGGGCAAUGUCUGCACAAAGUACAGUUUUCUAGAGUGCUGGUAAGUGGGUUCUCUAUGAUCUGUCUGAAUGGUGGAGCCGACUGAGACACAUUAGUUUUCUAAAUCACUCAGAUCCACAUCACUUGUGCCUAUAAUACUUUCUUGCUCAGAGUAUAAACAAACUUUUACUUGAAUUAAGUGGAAUAAAUCCACAUGGGACACAGGCCCAGAGAGUCCCAGUUUAUAUUUUCAAGCAAAGAAGACAGACUUGCAGGCAGCUAAACUUCGUGCAAAAGAUCAGAGCGUACUCACCAGGCCACUUCCACAACUAACACCCUAGUUGUUUUCUCAAAUAGUAUUUUUAAUGCAUGAGCAACCAGAUAUAACCAACUGGAUGCUUCUCCAUGGCCAGAUGGAGUGUUUGAAAAUAUUCCUUAAUGUAGCACCAAAUCAUUUUUCAGUUCAUUGGUGACUCAGAACUAAAGAGUCAGGGAGACUCUUCUGUAAAGGCAGGUUGUUUGGAACUUGUUUUUUGCCCCACCAGCUGAGAUCCUUUACAACAAACAGUGCACUGACUCAGGGUCAGUGAGAAUGUUCAACCUUCAUUAAAUACAUUGCCUAGAGAAGAGGCCAAAAGAGAUAUGAUCCUAAGAUGGCAGUAAAUCCAUCCUUUGUAAAAAGAUGGAAGCCAAUGGCCACUGACGCCAGUGCAGAGUUGCCUUCAAUUUAAAGUGGGUUGUUAAUGUCGUUCCCUGGAGCUGACAUUUUUGUCUUUAGGAUAAGGCAGAAAAGCAGGAAAAGAAGACUGUUACUUUUGAAGAAGAAAACCUGAAAACGCAACCUCAGUUGGUAACCAGUACUUGGCGAAGAAGGAAAGCCGGUGCGGUUUUAAUGGGAGAAAGUAACUGCCAGGCCUUUUGACCAUCGCCUUCGCUUUGCAAAUCUGGUUUUCAUAUUCUUGCUCAGUAAUCACCCAAAGUCAUAACUGUCUCUGAAAUUAUUCAUUAAAGUCAUUUUCAGGGAUUCUCACAGGAUGACUCUUUUACGUUUAUGAUCUUGUGAGAGCAAUGACAUCAGCCUCUGUCUGUUUUCCGCAUUUAACUAAUGUGCCGCGAAGACGCGAGGGGCCGUGGCUGUGUGCGUGGGGAGGGGGCGGGCCGGGGUGGAAUCCAACGGCCCUGGUGCUCCCGGCGCGGUCAGCUGAGCUCAGGCGCGCAGACAUCCUUUGAUUAAGGAGGGUAUUUCGGGGAGUGCAGGCUGUGCAGAAGAUCACGGCUGUGCCCUCUGGUGCUGUCAGCAGUGACAGAUCCCAGAUGGGGCCGCUACUGUAUGGCAGAUUGAGUUUCUCAGCAGAAAACUCACCCUCCCUCCUAAACGUCUUCAAAAACCUUCUCCAGAUACUCCAAGUCUCUUCGUGUGAAACUGAAAAAGUCCAACCCCAAAGUUGGUUUUGAGUGCGUGCUGCACUUCCUCCUCCUGUGAGCAUCUUCGACCCGCAGGGCUACCUGGCUGCUAAUAGCGUAGACGUGGCGGGCCUGGGGGUUCCUGUUCUCCUAGCUCACAGCGCCACGCCGACUACACAGCACCGAAGGGCCCCGAAGGCAACCCGGAAUAAAUGGAGCCAGAUCCUGGAUUACACCCCGGGGACAGCGUUUUAAUGUAAAUGUAAAAUAUGCUAGUAAUAAUCACUUUUGGGCCCUGAAGCGCCAUUAGAAUUUCUGUUUAAUUAUAGGGCAUGAGAGAAGCAUUACCAGCUAAUUAAAUCAAUCCUAUUUGUAAUUCUCCGUCUGCUGCUGCAGACUUUAAAAUGUGAAAUUGCGGAAGUUUUGGAGAAAAGGAAAUGACACUCCCUUCAUACCUGGGAAGACGAACCACUUGCCCGAUGCACACAAAUGCUCACUUCUUACUCAGAAGGUGAAUGUUUGUCAUAUUUAGUGUUUCUGGUACUUGUGUAGCACGUGGCAUACA
rnacentral:lncRNA from 1 species